rnacentral:rRNA from 1 species
UACGAAGGGGGCUAGCGUUGCUCGGAAUGACUGGGCGUAAAGGGCGCGUAGGCGGAUGGCUUUGUCGGGCGUGAAAUUCCAGGGCUUAACCUUGGGGCUGCGUUCGAGACGGGUUGUCUUGAGGACUGCAGAGGUGGGUGGAAUUCCUGGUGUAGUGGUGAAAUGCGUAGAGAUCAGGAGGAACACCGGUGGCGAAGGCGGCCCACUGGGCAGUCACUGACGCUGAGGCGCGAAAGCUCGGGGAGCGAACGGG